rnacentral:rRNA from 1 species
UACGGAGGGUGCAAGCGUUAUCCGGAUUUAUUGGGUUUAAAGGGUCCGUAGGCGGAUCUGUAAGUCAGUGGUGGAAUCUCACAGCUUAACUGUGAAACUGCCAUUGAUACUGCAGGUCUUGAGUGUUAUUGAAGUAGCUGGAAUAAGUAGUGUAGCGGUGAAAUGCAUAGAUAUUACUUAGAACACCAAUUGCGAAGGCAGGUUACUAAGCAACAACUGACGCUGAUGGACGAAAGCGUGGGGAGCGAACAGG